UAUGGCCACAUCAGAUUGAAACACCAGUUUCCAUAUCAUCACCAAAGUUAAGAAACUUUGAGCCAGGUCAGUACCUAGAUGGCUGACUGUAUGGAAAUAUCAGGUACUGUAAG